UCUAUGACCGAAACCCAUAUACCAGGGUAAAUCUCCUCAAGGCAAUGGAAUGGGCCUGUGGUGACAUAGGUGUGGAGUGUUUUCAAGGCUGGAUCCAGCACACCAGAGGGUUUUUACCCCGUUUUUCUUAGUUCUUGGUUGACAGUGAAUUGACAGAAAACCCCAUAGUGGUGGCCGUAUGCUGACCGACAGCAAGAGUUGGCAGUGGUGGAAAUGGUGAGGGCCAAGAAUGAUAUACGGCUGUUCGAAAUAAAGCAGGCAAUUGAGGAGAACAAUGACACCUUUUUCAAUGUGGCAUCUAUCAGCCUACCAACAGUAGCCCGCCUUUUAAAGAGGCACCAGGUACCAAUGAAACACAUGUACCUGGUGCCUUUUGAGAGAAACAAUGACCUGGUGAAACAUCUAAGGGCUUAGUAUGUUCAGAGGGUUAUGGUGCUUGACGCUGAUGUGAACCAUCACAAGUACAUUUUUGUUGAUGAAGCGGACUUUAACCUUGCCAAAACUCGUUGCCGUGGACGGAACAUCAUCGGCCAACGGGCCACUGUCCAAGUGCCUGGACAACGUGGAGGAAGCACUUCCAUGUGCGCAGCUAUAUCUGAAGAUGGUGUCAUAAGACUUAGACCAUUACUUGGCUCCUAUAAUGCUGCACAUCUUAUUGAGUUUCUCAAUGAAAUUGAGCCGGCCUGUCAAGGUGAAGGGGUCACCUAUGUAAUUGUGUGGGACAAUGUCAGCUUUCACCACGCACAGGUAGUUCAAGCAUGGUUUCAGGCCCAUCCUCGAUUCAUGACUCUACCUGCCUCCAUCCUCUCCUUUCCUCAACCCUUUUUUCCAGCAUGGAGGUGGAAGGUCCCUUGAGCGUGCCACCCUCCCUAAGGCCAUGGAUGAUGCAUGUGAUCACAUCAAUGUAGACCAAUGUCAAGCAUGGGUUCGUCACGCCAAAAUGUUUAUCCAAUGUGCUUGAACAAUGAUAACAUUCAUUGUGAUGUGGAUGAGAAUCUAUGGCCAAAUGCUCAAGACAGGCUUGAUCCAAAUGUAAUGUGUGCACUAAAUGUUAUGUUUUGUUCUCAUUUAAUUACAUAAUAGAAAGUAUACCUGUUAGAAUUAUAUCUGAAAAAUAUAAACUAAUUUGCCCAAAUGAUUGUUCAUUGAUCCUCCACUUGAUUACACAGAUAUUUUUGGAAAUUAUGUAAUGCAAGUGUGUUGCCAAAUGUGAAACUGUCAUCUGUAUUUUACAGUCCUGUAACAUUAAUUUCAGCACUUCUAAGGCCGAUUUGAAACAUGUAUCUUUCAUCCUUUGCUGUUGGAUGAACUGAUAAGGGCUAAACUGAAAUAAAAUCAUACUGUUGUGUUAGGUGAUUAAAACAAAU